GACGAACGCUGGCGGCGUGCCUAAUACAUGCAAGUAGAACGCUGAAGCGAGGAGCUUGCUCUUCUUGGAUGAGUUGCGAACGGGUGAGUAACGCGUAGGUAACCUGCCUUGUAGCGGGGGAUAACUAUUGGAAACGAUAGCUAAUACCGCAUAACAAUGGCUGACACAUGUCUUUUAUUUGAAAGGGGCAAUUGCUCCACUACAAGAUGGACCUGCGUUGUAUUAGCUAGUAGGUGAGGUAAUGGCUCACCUAGGCGACGAUACAUAGCCGACCUGAGAGGGUGAUCGGCCACACUGGGACUGAGACACGGCCCAGACUCCUACGGGAGGCAGCAGUAGGGAAUCUUCGGCAAUGGGGGCAACCCUGACCGAGCAACGCCGCGUGAGUGAAGAAGGUUUUCGGAUCGUAAAGCUCGGUUGUAAGUCAAGAACGGGUGUGAGAGUGGAAAGUUCACACUGUGACGGUAGCCUACCAGAAAGGGACGGCUAACUACGUG
rnacentral:rRNA from 1 species